rnacentral:rRNA from 1 species
AUACGUAGGUGGCAAGCGUUGUCCGGAAUUAUUGGGCGUAAAGCGCAUGUAGGCGGUGCCUUAAGUCUGUCGUGAAACUGCGGGGCCUAACCCCGUAUGGCGAUGGAAACUGUGGCACUUGAGUGCAGGAGAGGAAAGGGGAACUCCCAGUGUAGCGGUGAAAUGCGUAGAUAUUGGGAAGAACACCGGUGGCGAAGGCGCCUUUCUGGACUGUGUCUGACGCUGAGAUGCGAAAGCCAGGGUAGCGAACGGGAUUAGAUACCCCGGUAGUCCUGGCCGUAAACGAUGGGUACUAGGUGUGGGAGGUAUCGACCCCUUCCGUGCCGGAGUUAACGCAAUAAGUACCCCGCCUGGGGAGUACGGCCGCAAGGCUUAAACUUAAAUGAAUUGACGGGG